rnacentral:rRNA from 1 species
CAGUAGCCACGGUAAUACGAAGGGGGCUAGCGUUGCUCGGAAUCACUGGGCGUAAAGGGUGCGUAGGCGGGUUUUUAAGUCAGAGGUGAAAUCCUGGAGCUCAACUCCAGAACUGCCUUUGAUACUGAAAGUCUUGAGUAUGGGAGAGGUGAGUGGAACUGCGAGUGUAGAGGUGAAAUUCGUAGAUAUUCGCAAGAACACCAGUGGCGAAGGCGGCUCACUGGCCCAUAACUGACGCUGAGGCACGAAAGCGUGGGGAGCAAACAGGAUUAGAGACCCCCGUAGUCCCUGUCUCUUAUAC